ensembl:lncRNA
CUGAGUACAUGUUACUGCCUUGCAUGUUUCUAAAGGCGAUCUGAAAUGAGAAGUUAGCAGAAGCUAUUUUAAUUUUCUUGGUUUUUUUUUUUCUUGUUGCUGUUGACAUAUAUAACAUGAAGUACUUUGAAGGUUUGUCUUUUUAAGCUUGAGCAAUCCAGUGUUGAGUAAUACAUUUUGUAGGUUUAUUGAGAGGGUUUAGGCAGCAAUAUAUCCUUGACAAGGUGAGAAUACAGGUAUUUUGUUGCUGUUACAAAGCAGGUGAUGUGUUUGAUAGUUCAGUGCUCCUUCAAGAAACAACUGCCACUACUAAACUGUGCUGGAAAUGAUUUUGCUAAGCCUAAGCAGCUCAGUGCAACCUAUGUAUAAAAAUGUUGGUAUCUAAUACAUUUCUAAGAAUGAAGUUUUCUAAAAGCUAGAUAUUCCAACCAAUCUUCUACUCGAGUAGUAGGAUAACGUAAUAGUAUGCUACUAGCACAGUACUGCAGAAAGACCCUUGUCUUAAAAAACAGUUUUAGUAAUUUAGUUGCAGUUCAAAGUUCUAGCCUCCCACACAGAAAUGUUUUUACAGCAGUAGAUAGAACUGUGUAUUCUUUUAGACUGAAAUGAUUUCAGAGUUAUGGAUAAGACUGAGAGCAUGACUGCAAUUUCCUUCUUCUCUUCCAAGUCUACUAUUUCAAAUAGUGGAAACUGAAUAUAUUUUUCAAUAUUCCAUAAAUAUUUAAAGACUGCAUUUGGUGCAAUAGUUUUGGAGUUCUGGGAAUUAAGUGCAGAUAGAAUGUGAGUAGAAAAUCACUAGGAUGUUUUAUUUCCUUUCCCCAUAGGGAUGAGUAGAGAUGAAAAAACAAAUACCCUGGUCUCACUUCACUCAAGGAAAAUGAGCGACCAAGAAGGGCAAAAACUAAUAAAGUUGAGAUGCUUUAUAUGAGUGGGCAAUAAACCACAUGUAGUGCUUGCGUGAAGUGGUGCACCCUAGAUUUAAAUAGGAAUUUAGAACAUAUAUACAGACAUAUUUUUUUACAGUGCUUUUAUACUACAUGCACUGACUCUGUAUCAUUUGUGUCUCCAUUUUCUUCAGUCUUGAUGGAGAGACAAACUGGAAGUCUCCAGGAAUGUGUUGUUUUCCAUGGUGUUCUACUCAGAGUCCUUGUCAGAGCAGAUUUUACCUGGAUUGUUUGUGAACGUUACAAAGAAAACCUGUGUUUUACACAAACCCUGUUGGGGCUGUUUUUAUGGUGGGGACAGUAUUCUAAUAUGUUACAAGAGGUAAGACAUUGAAACCUUAGGGAUUUAUUAUCAAGAUUCAAAAUAUUAGGUUACAAGUUCCAUGUUUUGCUAGAAAUACAAGGUGGUUGUGUUUCUAAACCUUUUUGUAACAGGCAAGCAGUAAUUCCUUUUCCUCACAACUUAACUCCAUAGCCAAAACAAUUUGGCUUAAAUCUGGCUAAAGAACAACUGACGCCUAUUCAGAUUUAUUUAACUGGAAGAGGUGAGAGUGAAUUAAUGUUCCUUCUCUUCCUUUCGUUUAUUAGAUUUUAAAAAAUACUUGUUUGAAACAAAUGUAUAUAUUUUUUGCAUGAAACAUAAUUCAAUGUAAA